rnacentral:rRNA from 1 species
GAUGAACGCUGGCGGCGUGCCUAAUACAUGCCAGUCGAGCGAACGGACGAGAAGCUUGCUUCUCUGAUGUUAGCGGCGGACGGGUGAGUAACACGUGGAUAACCUACCUAUAAGACUGGGAUAACUUCGGGAAACCGGAGCUAAUACCGGAUAAUAUUUUGAACCGCAUGGUUCAAAAGUGAAAGACGGUCUUGCUGUCACUUAUAGAUGGAUCCGCGCUGCAUUAGCUAGUUGGUAAGGUAACGGCUUACCAAGGCAACGAUGCAUAGCCGACCUGAGAGGGUGAUCGGCCACACUGGAACUGAGACACGGUCCAGACUCCUACGGGAGGCAGCAGUAGGGAAUCUUCCGCAAUGGGCGAAGGCCUGACGGAGCAACGCCGCGUGAGUGAUGAAGGUCUUCGGAUCGUAAAACUCUGUUAUUAGGGAAGAACAUAUGUGUAAGUAACUGUGCACAUCUUGACGGUACCUAAUCAGAAAGCCACGGCUAACUACGUG